AUGUGGGCGCAAAUCAUUCGCAGCAAGUAUCUCCAGACUAGGACUUUGUCCCAGGUAACAGUUAGGCCGAUGGAUUCGCCUUUCUGGAAAGGGCUCAUGAAAGUCAAGCAAUUAAUGUUCAAUAGGACAAAAGUUGUCAUUGGCAAUGGGGCCACUACACGUUUCUGGGAGGACGCUUGGUUGGGCGACUCACCCCUGGCCAUUCAGUAUCCGUCUUUAUAUCGUAUUGCUCAACGACGUGAGGUGCUCGUGGCAACGGUAUUUCAAUCUAUCCCCCUUAAUAUUCAGUUUAGACGGUCAUUAGCGGGCAAUCGUUGGGAGGUUUGGCUCCAGUUAGUUAGGAGACUAAUGGAGGUUCAACUUUCUGAUCAACCGGAUAAAUUACGCUGGAAGUUGACUACGUCUGGGGUAUUUACAGUCAGGUCAAUGUAUACUGAUGUUAUUAAUACAAGCUCCAUUCCAACUUCCAAGAGUGUCUGGGAUGUCAAAGUACCUUUGAAAAUAAAAGUGUUUAUGUGGUUUGUU
rnacentral:rRNA from 1 species